GACGAGCGCUGGCGGCGUGCCUAAUACAUGCAAGUAGAACGCUGAAGCUUGGUGCUUGCACCGAGCGGAUGAGUUGCGAACGGGUGAGUAACGCGUAGGUAACCUGCCUGGUAGCGGGGGAUAACUAUUGGAAACGAUAGCUAAUACCGCAUAAGAGUAGAUGUUGCAUGGCAUUUGCUUAAAAGGUGCAAUUGCAUCACUACCAGAUGGACCCGCGUUGUAUUAGCUAGUUGGUGAGGUAACGGCUCACCAAGGCAACGAUACAUAGCCGACCUGAGAGGGUGAUCGGCCACACUGGGACUGAGACACGGCCCAGACUCCUACGGGAGGCAGCAGUAGGGAAUCUUCGGCAAUGGACGGAAGUCUGACCGAGCAACGCCGCGUGAGUGAAGAAGGUUUUCGGAUCGUAAAGCUCUGUUGUAAGAGAAGAACGAGUGUGAGAGUGGAAAGUUCACACUGUGACGGUAUCUUACCAGAAAGGGACGGCUAACUACGUG
rnacentral:rRNA from 1 species